rnacentral:lncRNA from 1 species
CUCCUCGCGCAGCCGCCGCCAAAGCCUGGAGAAGUGGAAUCUCGCCGGCGCCGCUGCCUGCGCGGGACUCGCGGAGCGGCACUGGGCAUGCUCAGUCGCCGGAGCCCGUCCUGGUCUCAAGUAGGAAGCUCGUGCGCUGCACCCGCAGCUGAUCCGGGCGCUCCGGGGAAGGCGAGAUUGGAGCAGAGCGGCCGGGCGCCGGUGCCGGAGCGAGCGCGGCGCGCAUCGCUGCUUGGUACAGAUGGACAUGAUGACUCGGCCAGUGUGGACCCUGGGGCUUUCCGGAGGCACCCCGCAUACCUGUCUGGAGCCUAGAUUGGAGAAAGCGUGAGGCCAAACCUCAAUGUCCACCGGAAAAAAACUGUCUCUAAGGUCCCUCAGGGCAGUCCGUACAACCAACAGGCAAGUUGUCAUAAGCUUUCUAAUUCCUUCCCCAUGACACAGUUAUCUCUCCCCUGAAUGAGAGCAGUGGCCUCUCAGUGGCCUCCUGGCCUGUCCAGCUCAAUUCAUUCAGUUUGGCUUCCAAAGCGCUGGGCGCUGUUCCAAAUGCUGCCUGUGGAAAUGGACCAGGGUGGAAACUGACCAGGAUGGCCACUGUGUCUGCCUGCCUAAACUCUGUGUCUGGCGGGAGAGACUGACUACUGUGAUAAAAUGUGAUGUGUGCUACCAGGAGGGGAGGUGGGAGGUACUCCGUGCUUCCGAUACUCGCACCUGCCCUGGUUGGGUGUAGGGGGUGUGUCAGGCACGGCUUCCUUCCAGAGGAAAGGCUAGACAGCAUGCCUGGCACCUCCACAUCUGUAAGGUGCCCCUGACUCCAGACUCCUGCUUGGAGCUAUGUUGUUGCUGAUGGUGUGCCUCCCUUCCUUCCCACCACUGUGGCCUCUCGUUGAGUUGCCUUCUCUGUGGUCUCUCUGUUCAUUCUCUGCACUGCCUGCAAAGUGAUCUCCUGAAAUCCUCUGCAGGUCCGGGCAUGCCCAUCCCAGCCCUCCAGGGGCUCCUCAUUGCCCUCGAGAUGAUGUGCCAGCUUCUUGGCAUCGCACCUGGUACCCUUCAUGAUCUGCUUUGCUCUCCAUCUCAUGCUCGGAGCUUGAGCCACACCAUUCUCACGACAUACCCUUUUGGCUUUGGGGCUUUUAUCCUCUGUUCCCAUUGCCUGCAACCAUUCUUACUGUCGAUGUAUUCUUUACUUGCUUGACUUUUGUUUCUUCUUCAGAAGUAGCUUAAUCAUCAUCCACCUCAGUGUGUGUCAGAAUGACUGGAGGGCUGGCUAAAACACACAUUCUCCUCUUACCCCCAUAGUUUCUGACUCCCAGGACUGUGGGGUGGCCCCAUCAAAGUUUGUACUUCUAACAAUAUCCUGGGUGAUGUUGAUGCUGCGGGUCUGGGGACCAUGCUUGGGAGACCCUAGGUACAUGGUCACCAAGGACAGGGUGACUGGCUCUUUUUGCUUCCACUGUGAGCGCCUGACAAUCUCUCUUACAUCAAGCCUUUGUUGUCAUACUGCUUUGCAACUAUUUACUUUCCUGGCUUGUCUUUAGUCUGUAAGCCCCUUGAGGGACAACACUGUUACUUCUUCAUCUUUGUGCUCCCAGUGCUUAGAAAUCCUGGGUGCUCAUUAAACAUUUGUCAAAGAAUGAAUAUAUGAAUGAAAAAUAACUUUAUCAUUGGAGGCUUUAAUAAAUAUGCCCCAGAACGUAUUUUAGCAGCUACUUUUUCUGACAGUUUCCCCCACAGUUGUGAAGGUAUAGGCUUAUAACAUGCUGUUAAUGAGAUCAGCAUGUGUUUGGUUAACAUAAGAGCCAGUUAGCUGUGUGGUUUUGUGUCCAAAUUCUAGAAAGGUCUAGGGGAGGGACUAAUACUAAGCAUAUUAGUGUUUCUGGAAUUACUCAAAAAUACAUAGGUUUUUAAAUAGUGGCUUGGUAUGAAAAUAUGUGUCCAAAAGAUAUGCAGAUGUCAUUUAAUUUAGCAACCAUAGCAUAACUGUGGUCUUUUUAUUUGAAAUAAUAAAUCUCAGUGAACUGAUAUUAAAUGUAACCAGAUGUUUAAGCAAUCCUUUCUUUAAGCCAGAGGGAGGGAUAACUAGAAUACUUCAUGUGCUUACUCAUUCCGUAGAUGUUUAUUGAGCAUCUAUCUACUAUGUGCCAAUAGGCUCUAGGACUAUGGCAAUGAGUAAAACACUCCUGCUUUCUCAGUGGGAGGUGCCAGAGGGAAAAUAGAGUUGGGUGAUGUGAUGCACAGUGCCUAGAGGGCUCCUUUAGGUCAACUGGUAGGAAGUGACUUAUUAAGCUGUGUCCUGAUUGACAGGAAGUGAUGGCCAUGUCGAGAUCAUGACACGACAGGAAGUGAUGGCCAUGUCAAGAUCAUGACAUGGAAGGGAGCAGUUUAAGGCCACGAGAAUGGUGCAGAGGGCCUAACUUUAAAACCUGUCUUUGAGGAUCCCUGAUGCCCCUGUAGUCUUGAAGACUGGAUUGAUGUACCUUAUUAUUUUUUUUUAUUUUUUUAAUGUUUAUUUAUUUUUGAGAGAGAGAGAGAGAGAGAGAGAGAGAGAGACAGUGUGAGCAGGGGAGGGGCAGAGAGGGAGGGAGACACAGAAUCCGAAGCAGGCUCCAGGCUCUCAGCUGUCAGCACAGAGCCCGAUGCAGGGCUGGAACCCAUGAUCCGUGAGAUCGUGACCUAAGCCGAAGUCAGAUGCCCAACUAACUGAGCGACCUAGGCGCUCCCCUCCUCCACCUGUCACCUUAUUAUUGUGUUUGCUAAUUCAGAUCCAGGCUCAAGCCUUGCUUCCACAGCUCCGAAAGCAGUACUUCCCAAAGGGUGUUCAGUGAAACCUGAGUUAUGGGAAAUAUGUUGGGAAUAAAGGUUUCUGCCAUUGAGUUCAGAAAACUGCAUGCACCUUUUCUUUCCAUUAACAUAUUCAGGAGGUUAACUACAUUUAGUCCCGCGUUUGCCCACGGGCCUACUUUGCGCAGCAUCUUCUGAACUGAUGUAUCUUGUUGCACACCUUGGACAGUCAGCUCUAAAGCUGCUGCUUCGUGCACACCUAAAAGAAUAUUUCACGUGAGGCAGGCUUCUCUCUGCUCUUCACGUUCCACUUCCCCUUUGGUGACUUUGAUUGUGGAAGAGAAGGUGGGAGUGGGAUUUCUCACAUUGGUUUUCCAAAUGCCUUGUGCCCAGUAGAUCAGUCCACUGAUUUGGGUCCAAAGGUAAGUGGCGUUUAGAGCCUGAGAGGUCAUUGUUCGUUCGCUGCAUUCGGGGAGGGGUUGGCUGUAAUGUCAUGUCCAUGCAAGCGGUUUCUGCACACGCUUUAGCCUCUGUUACUUUAAUGGAGAAUGGUUUGUGGUUGAGUUAUUCAUUCUGUCUUCUUUUGGGUAUGUAAACAUCGCUUUGGGUGUCAGCUGACCCUGAGUAGAAGUAGGGGGAGAGGAGUGAUCUGCUGGGAGUUGCUAAGGGUGAGCCUUAGGUAUGAGAACAUUAAGCUUGGGUCAGACGCUGUGUACUGAACCUUUACUGAUGUUUUGGAAUCUUAAUACCAGCUUAAAAAAUACUGGCAUUUAGAUUUCCUUUCAGUUGAGGUAUGUUUGGUUUGGGCCCUUCCUGAAGUCAGAGCAGAUGGACAGGGUCUGUCUUUUUGAAGUUUUGUUGUUGACCUUUAUGGUUCUAGUUUGGCACAGCAAGCCCGGAAAGGUUCAAGGUGGGAUAAGCUCACUGAAAACUUUCAUUUGAGGGAGAGUCCAAGAUGAGUGUUUUUGUAGAAUAAUUCAGAGUAGAAGAGCAUUUGGCUCAUUUGCCAGGGUUGUGGGGAGGCUCCCAUCCUGUGCUGCUGAUUUUUUGUGCUUGGGGCAAUUUCCAGAAAGAGGCAGUGUGGGGCCUGACUGAGAAAAAGGUUAAAGAAGCUGCAGAUACAGAUGGAAUAGUCCUGGAAAUGGCCCACCCAGCGAGGGAACUAGUGGUGGGGCACUAGAGGGAACACCUGGGGUUUCCUUCUAGUUCUAGGAAUUUGGAAUGAUUAGUGUUUUUGGGUCCUCUGUGUUGGGGCACUGUGUUUGCAUGGGUUGUGCUCUCCUUAAAUGAAACAGAAACUUCAGUAUGAGUGGUGGAUACAUUGGAUACCAUUACUGUGCACAGGAUUGCCGUGUCUUCAAUUAUCUAGUAUCCGCAAACUCCUGCAUUCAAAUGAUAUACAUUCCAGUGACUUGAGCAGGAAGUGUGAGAAGUAGUGGAACAGAAGUAACACUCACUGCUCUUAUGCAUGAGACCUAGCAGUUGGGUCGGUGUCGUUUUCUAAAAAUGUCUUUUUUUCUAGGUCUUGAGGUUAUUUCUACUAAAAUGAGUAAAGGAAGUCUUGCAUUCCCUCAACUUAGGUAUAAUUGUCUCCCGGUCAAAGUCAUCUCCUGCUGACUUGAGUUUUAUUUCAUCUUAAAUCAUUUUCCUUUACUGGUACUAGAUCCUGCUGUUCUAUAUAUUACAUGUAUAUAUUUUGUAAGCCACAAGUUGAAACAAGAAACAAAAAUAAGGCAUGGAGUUUUAUUGAAUUUUAUCUUUUACCCCCUUAGUUCUGAGAACAUGUGAAUUGCAAGAAAAUCAGUAUGAAAAAGCUGGGGAGAAUGUUGAUUUGCGGUAUUAUUAUUUUUAUUUCCUAGGAAGAAAACAGGAUUUUCAUUAGAUGCCAUUGCGUCGUUUUCCACUGAGAGCGAUAAUAGUGGGAUGGAUGGCCAUAUCCGGAGUUUGUAUACAUUUUUGCUUAAAAU